rnacentral:rRNA from 1 species
GAUGAACGCUGGCGGCGUGCCUAAUACAUGCAAGUCGAGCGAACGGACGAGAAGCUUGCUUCUCUGAUGUUAGCGGCGGACGGGUGAGUAACACGUGGAUAACCUACCUAUAAGACUGGGAUAACUUCGGGAAACCGGAGCUAAUACCGGAUAAUAUUUUGAACCGCAUGGUUCAAAAGUGAAAGACGGUCUUGCUGUCACUUAUAGAUGGAUCCGCGCUGCAUUAGCUAGUUGGUAAGGUAACGGCUUACCAAGGCAACGAUUCAUAGCCGACCUGAGAGGGUGAUCGGCCACCCGGGAACUGAGACACGGUCCAGACUCCUACGGGAGGCAGCAGUAGGGAAUCUUCCGCAAUGGGCGAAAGCCUGACGGAGCAACGCCGCGUGAGUGAUGAAGGUCUUCGGAUCGUAAAACUCUGUUAUUAGGGAAGAACAUAUGUGUAAGUAACUGUGCACAUCUUGACGGUACCUAAUCAGAAAGCCACGGCUAACUACGUG